AGCCUGCCCAGUGACCAAGUUAAACGGCCGCGGUACCCUAACCGUGCAAAGGUAGCGCAAUCACUUGUUCUUUAAAUGAGGACUAGUAUGAACGGCAUCACGAGGGUUACACUGUCUCCCCACUCCACUCAGUGAAACUGAUCUCCCCGUGAAGAAGCGGGGAUAAAAAUAUAAGACGAGAAGACCCCAUGGAGCUUUAAACUCAGUGUCAUCUGCUACCACAAUAGCCAAGUAACAAUGCAGCAAUGACAACUAGUUUUUGGUUGGGGUGACCGCGGAGUAAAACAAAACCUCCGCAACGAAAGGAACUAACAACCUAAUCUAAGAGUAACAGCUCUAAGAAUCACAUAAAUUGACCUAACUGAUCCAAUUACUUGAUCAACGAACCAAGUUACCCUGGGGAUAACAGCGCAAUCCAUUUAAAGAGCUCAUAUCGACAAAUGGGUUUACGACCUCGAUGUUGGAUCAGGGUAUCCCAGUGGCGCAGCAGCUACUAACGGUUCGUUUGUUCAACGAUUAAA
rnacentral:rRNA from 1 species